rnacentral:rRNA from 1 species
UACGAAGGGGGCUAGCGUUGCUCGGAUUGACUGGGCGUAAAGGGCGCGUAGGCGGCCGUGGAAGUCAGGCGUGAAAGCCCCGGGCUCAACCUGGGAAUUGCGCUUGAUACUCCGGGGCUUGAGUUCGGGAGAGGAGAGUGGAAUUCCCAGUGUAGAGGUGAAAUUCGUAGAUAUUCGGAAGAACACCAGUGGCGAAGGCGGCUCACUGGCCCGUUACCGACGCUCAGGCGCGACAGCGUGGGGAGCAAACAGG